GGAACGAGACAGGGAAUGAGACAACAGGGAACCAGAAAGCAUAUCAUUGUGGUCGAUGUCCACCAAAGUGGUUAAUGUAUUCCAACAACUGCUAUUACAUCAGCACUGA